CUCUCCAUAGGCUAAUGGAUAAACCAGAAGACUACGAAUCUUCUAUUGUCGGUUCGAGUCCGGCUGGAGAGAC
rnacentral:tRNA from 1 species